rnacentral:rRNA from 1 species
UACGUAGGGGGCAAGCGUUGUCCGAUUUAUUGGGCGUAAAGAGCGUGUAGGCGGCUUUACAGGUCCGUUGUGAAAACUCGAGGCUCAACCUCGAGACGCCGGUGGAAACCGUAAAGCUAGAGUCCGGAAGAGGAGAGUGGAAUUCCUGGUGUAGCGGUGAAAUGCGCAGAUAUCAGGAGGAACACCCGUGGCGAAAGCGGCUCUCUGGGACGGUACUGACGCUGAGACGCGAAAGCGUGGGGGAGCAAACAGG